AUCCAAAAUCCAUCUUGAGUCAAGCACCCGUCUUUUUGUCGAUUUCCGGCUACUUACCUCCUUCCACGUACGCCAGAUGGCGCUAGUGUGCCCAAAAUAAAC